rnacentral:rRNA from 1 species
UACGGAGGGUGCAAGCGUUAUCCGGAAUCACUGGGCUUAAAGGGCGCGUAGGCUGCUGUAUAAGUCAGGGGUGAAAGCUUGUCGCUUAACGAUGGAAUUGCCUUUGAUACUGUGCGGCUUGAAACUAGGAGAGGUUGGCGGAAUGCGGCAUGUAGCGGUGAAAUGCGUAGAUAUGUCAUAGAACACCGAUUGCGAAGGCAGCUAGCUAACCUAUUUAUGACGCUGAGGCGCGAAAGCGUGGGGAGCAAACAGG